UUCCGGUUGAUCCUGCCGGACCCUACUGCUAUCGGGGUGGGACUAAGACAUGCGAGUCAAUAUGGUAGACGCGGCAGACGGCUCAGUAACACGUGGCUAACCUACCCUCAGAACGGGGACAAACCCGGGAAACUGGGGCUAAUAUCCGAUAGGCGAGGAAUCCUGGAAUGGUUCUUCACCCAAAGGAUUGAUCGCCUGGGGAUGGGGCCGCGACCGAUCAGGUUGUUGGUGAGGUAAUGGCUCACCAAGCCUUUAACCGGUACGGGCCGUGAGAGCGGUAGCCCGGAGAUGGGUACUGAGACAAGGACCCAGGCCCUACGGGGCGCAGCAGUCGCGAAAACUCCGCAAUGCACGAAAGUGUGACGGGGCUACCCCGAGUGCCUUCCGCUGAGGAGGGCUUUUACUUGGUAUAACUAGCCGAGGGAAUAAGGAGAGGGCAAGACUGGUGUCAGCCGCCGCGGUAAUACCAGCUCUCCGAGUGGUAGGGAUGAUUAUUGGGCUUAAAGCGUCCGUAGCCGGCUUAGCAAGUUUCCUGUAAAAUUCAGCAACUUAAUUGUUGACCCGCGGGAAAUACUACUAGGCUAGGAGGUGGGAGAGGUCGACGGUACUUCUGGGGUAGGGGUGAAAUCCUAUAAUCCCGGGAGGACCACCAGUGGCGAAGGCUGUCGACUAGAACGCGCUCGACGGUGAGGGACGAAAGCUGGGGGAGCGAACCGGAUUAGAUACCCGGGUAGUCCCAGCUGUAAACGAUGCGGGCUAGGUGUUGGGGUGGCUACGUGCCACUUCAGUGCCGCAGGGAAGCCAUUAAGCCCGCCGCCUGGGGAGUACGGCCGCAAGGCUGAAACUUAAAGGAAUUGGCGGGGGAGCACCACAAGGCGUGAAGCUUGCGGUUCAAUUGGAUUCAACGCCGGA
rnacentral:rRNA from 1 species